rnacentral:rRNA from 1 species
GACGAACGCUGGCGGCGUGCUUAACACAUGCAAGUCGAACGGAAAGGCCCUGCUUUUGUGGGGUGCUCGAGUGGCGAACGGGUGAGUAACACGUGAGUAACCUGCCCUUGACUUUGGGAUAAAUUCAGGAAACUGGGUCUAAUACCGGAUAGGAGCUCCUGCUGCAUGGUGGGGGUUGGAAAGUUUCGGCGGUUGGGGAUGGACUCGCGGCUUAUCAGCUUGGUGGUGGGGUAGUGGCUUACCAGGGCUUUGACGGGUAUCAGGCCUGAGAGGGUGACCGGCCACAUUGGUACUGGAACCAGGCCCAGACCCCUACGGGGGGCAGAAGUGGGGAAAAUUGCAGAAUGGGCCGAAGCCUGAUGAAGCAACCCCGCGGGCGGAAUGACGGCCUUGGGUUGGAAACCCGCUUUCGCAUGUGACGAAGCGUGAGUGACGGUAAUGGGUAAAGAAGCACCGGCUAACUACGUG